AGAUUAAACUGAAGAGUUUGAUCCUGGCUCAGAUUGAACGCUGGCGGCAUGCCUUACACAUGCAAGUCGAACGGCAGCACGGAGCUUGCUCUGGUGGCGAGUGGCGAACGGGUGAG
rnacentral:rRNA from 1 species